rnacentral:misc_RNA from 1 species
UUAACUAUUACAUAGUACUCAGACAACAUAAUACAAGAGUUUUGGGGUCCUCUGGCGGGCACAGACCAGCCAAAGCCAGUGGUCAUAAGACGGGCCCGCCAAAGCAACAAAGGUAUUGUAAACAAAGGGUGGGAGAUAUACCCCUAAAGGGCAUGUUCUCAGUAAUGAUCCUUCCGCAGGUUCACCUACGGAAA